rnacentral:rRNA from 1 species
GACAGAGGGUGCAAACGUUGCUCGGAAUCAUUGGGCGUAAAGCGCACGUAGGCGGUUCGUUAUGUCGGAUGUGAAAGCCCUUGGCUUAACCGAGGAAGUGCAUCCGAAACUGGCGAGCUAGAGUACUAAAGAGGAUCGCGGAAUUCCCGGUGUAGAGGUGAAAUUCGUAGAUAUCGGGAGGAACACCGGUGGCGAAGGCGGCGAUCUGGGUAGAUACUGACGCUGAGGUGCGAAAGCGUGGGGAGCAAACAGG